GGGGGCCACAGAGUGUCGGGAGCGUUCCCAGGUGCCCCACGCGCCUUGGCUGUGCUCGCCUUCAGCUCGGAUUUCCUGAUUCUUCCAGCUAAUGAUGAUGCCUUCCUUCCUUUGAACACGUCAUACCCCUGGUUUGAUUUGAGAAAUACAGUAAUGUUUUCAUGAAGGAAAAAAGCAUAUAAGCCUAUGAGCUUCACUUGGACUUGAGCCCUGGGAAAAUCACCAAGUUGCACACUGUGGUACAGAGAAGCUGAAUGCAUCAGUUUUAUUGACCAGACAGCCA